CAUCAUAAGCUCCAUCACUGGGCCAUUUUUCACCAAUCUGUGGAUUAGUAGUUUCCUCGACACUGUAGUUUUCAUCAUUGCUAGUGUUGACUUGCGGAUCUACACCAUGCCUUGGAGGUGAAGUAACAUGUCGAGGUGUCUAUACUAAAAUCCUUGGUUGUUGGUUGGUUCCCUUGAGAUUGUAUCUUCCAUCAUACCUAGAAUGGACUUGUGGAUUAACUGAGUAUGUUGUUGAUGAAGGAAUACCUUGCGGAUCUUCACAGUGCCUUGGGGGUGAAGAAACAUGCCGAGGUGUCUCUACUAAAAUCCUUGGUUGUUGAUUGGGUCCCUUGAGAUUGUAUCUUUCAUCAUACCUAGGAUGGACUUGUGGAUUAAC
rnacentral:lncRNA from 1 species